GAUGAACGCUGGCGGCGUGCCUAAUACAUGCAAGUCGAGCGAACAGACGAGGCGCUUGCUCCUCUGACGUUAGCGGCGGACGGGUGAGUAACACGUGGAUAAUCUACCUAUAAGACUGGGAUAACUUCGGGAAACCGGAGCUAAUCCCGGAUAAUCUAUUGAACCGCAUGGUUCAAUAGUGAAAGACGGUUUUGCUGUCACUUAUAGAUGGAUCCGCGCCGCAUUAGCUAGUUGUUAGGGUAACGGCUUACCAAGGCGACGAGGCGUAGACGACGUGAGAGGGUGAUCGGCCACACUGGAGCUGAGACACGGUCCAGACUCCUACGGGAGGCAGCAGUAUGGAAUCUGCCGCAAUGGGCGAAAGUCUGACGGAGCAACGCCGCGUGAGUGAUGAAGGUCUUGGGAUCGUAAAACUCUGUUAUUAGGGAAGAACAAAUGUGUAAGUAACUAUGCACGUCUUGACGGUACCUAAUCAGAAAGCCACGGCUAACUACGUG
rnacentral:rRNA from 1 species